AUUGAACGCUGGCGGCAGGCCUAACACAUGCAAGUCGAGCGGUAGAGAGGUGCUUGCAUCUCUUGAGAGCGGCGGACGGGUGAGUAAUGCCUAGGAAUCUGCCUAGUGGUGGGGGAUAACGUUCGGAAACGGACGCUAAUACCGCAUACGUCCUACGGAUGAAAGCGGGGGACUCGCAAGAGCCUCGCGCGAUUGGAGCGGCCGAUAUCAGAUUAGGUAGUUGGUGAGGUAAAGGCUCACCAAGCCGACGAUCUGUAGCUGGUCUGAGAGGACGACCAGCCACACUGGGACUGAGACACGGCCCAGACUCCUACGGGAGGCAGCAGUGGGGAAUUUUGGACAAUGGGCGAAAGCCUGAUCCAGCAAUGCCGCGUGCAGGAAGAAGGCCUUCGGUUGUAACUAGCUUUGUUACGGAACG
rnacentral:rRNA from 1 species